UACGUAGGGUGCAAGCGUUUGUCCGGAAUUAUUGGGCGUAAAGAGCUCGUAGGCGGUUUGUUGCGUCGGCUGUGAAAUCCCGAGGCUCAACCUCGGGUCUGCAGUCGAUACGAGCAAACUAGAGUGUUGCAGGGGAGACUGGAAUUCCUGGUGUAGCGGUGAAAUGCGCAGAUAUCAGGAGGAACACCAGCGGCGAAGGCGGCGCUCUGGGCCGGAACUGACGCUGAGGAGCGAAAGCGUGGGUAGCAAACAGG
rnacentral:rRNA from 1 species